AGUCCGAAGCGCUACACGGGAACUGGGCGCACCCAGGCUCGCGUUCCCGCCAUGGCGCUGACCCCGCUGCGUCCACUGCUGAAGGACAGGCGCGUGGUGCUGGCGAGCGCGUCCCCACGGCGGAGGGAAAUCCUCGGGCUCACGGGCCUGGCGUUCGACGUCAUUCCGUCGCGGUUCGAGGAGUCGCGGCGCUCAGCGGCCUCCCCCUGCGCCGGCGCCUACGCCCUGGACACCGCAGCGGGAAAGGCGCUGGAGGUGGCCGGCCGGGUGUGCCAGGCAGUUGAUGGGCUGAUCCUGGAGAAGCCAGCAGACAGGCAGGACGCAUACCGGAUGCUGUGCAGGCUGAGCGGGAAGGAACACAGCGUGUUCACAGGCGUCGCCGUGGUGGCCUGCUCAGGCAGUGACCCGAAACCGGAAGUGCAGGGCUUCCUCGAGGAGACCCGGGUGACCUUCUCCCCACUGUCUGAAGAGCUGAUCUGGGAAUAUAUUGACAGUGGGGAACCCAUGGACAAGGCCGGCGCCUAUGGCAUCCAGGCGCUGGGGGGGAUGCUGGUGGAACGUGUGGACGGGGAUUUCCUGAACGUUGUAGGCUUCCCACUCAACCGCUUCUGUCGGGAGCUCGGGAAGAUUCUCACUGGAAACAGCAGGCCUAGGACAGGAAACAGUGAAGCACAGACUGGAGAAAGCUUGUCACAAGUAAACAAGACAUCUCCAACGUGGAACAGCUCAGGAGUGCCCUUGUCUGGGCUCUCUGCAGCUCCUGCCGUUUCCCAGAAUCCUCCUGUGUCAAACUGAUGUCUCUGAGAAUUCCCAGGUACCAGGGACACACUGGUGACAUCAUAACUGGACUAUUCAGGCAUCGUGAGGCCAACCUUUGACCUCCAGACUCGGCACUCCAAGUCAUGAGGAUAACUUCCGGGAUCAUGGGUCAGAGCUUUGUGGGGUCAAGUUCCCAGGGUGCUGAAGACUCACUCCUGGCCUGGAGAAAUCCUACCUCCUGGAGGUUCAAGGUCACACAGAUGUUUUUUAAGCUUCUUCUGUUUACUUGUAU